GACGAACGCUUGCGGCGUGCCUAAGAAAUGCAAGUCGAGCGAGGUUUAGGCUUCGGCCGACGACCUAGCGGCGAACGGUCGCGUAACACGUAAGCAACCUGCCCUAAAGUUGGGGAUAGCCCGCCGAAAGGCGGAUUAAUACCGAAUGUGGAUAUGAUUUCGCAUGUGAUUAUAUCUGAAGCAGCGAUGCGCUUUAGGAUGGGCUUGCGGCCUAUCAGUUAGUUGGUGUGGGUAACGGCCUACCAAGACGACGACGGGUAGCUGGUCUGAGAGGAUGGUCAGCCGGAUUGGGACUGAGACACGGCCCAGACUCCUACGGGGGCAGCAAUUAGGAAUCUUGCGCAAUGGGCGAAAGCCUGACGCAGCGACGCCGCGUGACUGAUGAAGUCUUUCGAGAUGUAAAGGUCUUUUGUUGGGGACGAAGGAAGUGACGGUACCCGACGAAUAAGCCCCGGCUAACUACGUGCCAGCAGUCGCGGUAAUAGUGUGUGUA
rnacentral:rRNA from 1 species